UGAAAACCAAAUUUCAUUAGAAAUAUGAAAAUGGGAUAAAACUUUUGGGACAACUUCUUGACUGUUCAGCUUUUCCUUCCAAGAUCCUUAAUUAUCAAAUCUUUAGUAUAAGGGAUCCAAGCAUAUCUUAUCCAUUACAUUUAUUCAUCUGACAAAUGUGGGCUUGAAAAGUUAAAGCUGGCAAGGAAGAUUUUGUGGUUGGAGGAUCUCUUAGUGUUUUCUGAGAUUGAGAUUACUUUUUUUAAAAAGCUUUUCAAGGUAACAAUUGGCAUCACAGAAGGCCCCAUGUCACAAAUACCAAUCCUACACAGAGUAAUUCAUUAGCUGUACUUCUUUAUCCUUGAAGAGUGCUCACUGCUGAAAUACAACCUAUUCAAUGAGAUUUCUUGUAGAUGGAAACAUCAUGGCUCCUCAUCUUCUAUUUCUAGCAACUUUUUGUUACUCCAGGAAUGUCAGCCCAGCUGACUUUCCCAUGGACCCUGAGUCCCAUUAUUUAUGAAAUCAGCGAUUCUAUUCAUUAUGAUGUCACAGUAGGACUGGUUUUAUACUAAUUUUAGAAUCUCUGUUCUCUUUGGAUCAGACAAGCCAUCAAAUGGCCUGGUUUGCCUUUUAGAAGACUAGCUAAUGGCCCAGGAAGAGAGAAGACAGCUAGUGGUGCCACCUCCUCUUCGCCCUCUGUAGAGAGCCUUGAUUUCAGCAUUACCUGCCUGUCCCACACCAACAGUAACUCUUCACAAGGUCUGAGCAUCAGGAUCAAACUUCACCUUCACCUUUCCUCCCGAGAAACAAGAUACCAUCAGGCAACAGUCACUCUUGGGGUUCGGCUGGGAGCCAGAAGAACACGCUCAGUCAGCCACAUGUGGAUGCAGGCCUUUUCCUCACUACCACUGGGGCGGGACAAGGGGCGGUCCAACAUGGCCCCAGCAGCCUGGCCUGCACCCUCAGACCUCCUGCCCACAACGCCAUAAAGAGCAUACUUGUCCCCCGUGAAACUCUCUUCAUCCAAGGAAGAACGCGUGCUCCUCUUCUGAAGGUCCUUGGAUGCCUGCUGAGAUGUUGUUGGUGAGUUUGCUCCGGUCUGAGUUACAACUCUCGGGAGGUAGCCCAUGCCAGGCGGUAGGGUACC
rnacentral:lncRNA from 1 species